rnacentral:rRNA from 1 species
UACAGAGGGUGCGAGCGUUGUCCGGAAUCACUGGGCGUAAAGGGCGCGUAGGUGGCGACCCAAGUCAAUGGUGAAAGCUCGAUGCUCAACAUCGAGUCGGCCACUGAUACUGGGUUGCUCGAGCACUGUAGAGGCAGAUGGAAUUCCGGGUGUAGCGGUGGAAUGCGUAGAGAUCCGGAAGAACACCGGUGGCGAAGGCGGUCUGCUGGGCAGUUGCUGACACUGAGGCACGAAAGCGUGGGGAGCAAACAGG